CAGUCUGCUCAGCCUGUGUUAGUGGAGAAGAGGGAAGGAAACUGGCUGGAGGCCGCUGGACCCACAGAGGACAAUAGACAAUCUCCUGCUCCGGCUAAAUUUUUGGAUUUUUAGUAGAGACUUCACCAUGCUGGCCAGGCUGGUCUCAAACUCCUGACAGCAAUCAGCGAGACUCCGUGGGCAUAGGACCCUCCGAGCCAGGUGCAGGAUAUAAUCUUGUGGUGCGCCGUUUUUUAAGCCUGUCCGAAAAGCGCAAUAUUCGCGUGGGAGUGACCCGAUUUUCCAGCUUUUUUUUUUCCAUCUUAAGCUGUGGUGGGGAUAAAAAAUGUUUUGGAAUCUAUUAUUAAAAGAUCUCUUUCCAGAAAAGUAUAGACACUUCCUGUUUUAUAUAUUAGGAAUUAUACAGAGUUAUUCCCCUUAUGAUAUGGGACGGUUGCCUUAAACAAAUCAUAAAGUAGCAAAAAUUAAAGUAUAUUUUUUCCCUUCAGAGGAAGGACAUUUUGCCGUUUCAGACAAGUAAAUCUGACAAUUAUGUUUCCAGCAACCUUAGAGAAAUAGCUGUUGUGCUCACCCAGGGUUCUGGAUAAAGAUGCUUAGUGUACUUUCCUUGGAAGCAAAUCAAAUGCAAAUUUGGUUGUGUCUCUCUCUUGCUUAGACGCUUUCAGUAGCUUCCCUUGGGUCCUUAGGAUAAAGCCCCAACUUAUUCAAAGUCCUUUCAGGUCUUCACCUGCACACUCCCUACCCUGGUCUCCCUUCUGUGUGUUUUCUGUCUGGUUCUCUUUACUGAACCUCACAAGGGCUGACAGACGUGAACCCUGUUUCAGUUUCUGCUUAAAAGCCUUUUCUCCAGCCUGAUUUAUAAUCUCAGUGCACCUAUACUUCUAACACCUCAGAAACUCACUUGUAAUUCUCUGUUCCAGGAUGCCCACUGGAUCCAAAGAGAGAAACUCUAUAGAAUUAUGAUCUAGGUUUGACUGACUCCUGGCAAGAAGCCCUACCCGCCAGCCAAUUUGGAUGAGGUGAGGGCUUUUUCUUAUCCCGCAAAGGAGAUGUGCAACAUGCUGCUCAGGCUUUUGAAGAAAUGACUCAGAAAAGGGCUGUCCUCAUAGCCAAAUAACAAAAUGUUUACUGAAAAUGCAAAAGUGAAGUCAUCAAAUACCUGAAUUCACUGGACAUUGGUAAAUUUAGAAAAAGCCAAGAUCUGUCAUCUAUUCAUACACACACACACACACACACAGACAUACACACACAGACACACACACACAGACACACACAUACACAGACAUACACACACACAGACAUACACACACACACACACACACACGCACAAACACGAACACCAGAGAUCAAUUCAAAGGUCACAGGGGUCAUCCAUCUUUCCUUCUAUGUGACUGGUUUGCUCUUGCAUAUCAUGUUUUCCGCAAAGGUCUUACCUGUGUUUUUUUAUGAUUUGGCUCAGCUCUUAUGCUCCAGAUCCAUCAUGAGAAGAACAUGCCCUGGAUUCCUGCUAUCCCUUUAGCCAUGGCUCCAAAAUUAACACACACAAGGAAGACCUGAGGUCAAUCCACAGCCUGGAUUCAAGUCACCUAAUACAUAGGAGAAUCAGAGCUACCCAGCCACACUCAAUCUACGUUAACUGAACCUCAGCUGACCUGCAGAUUUAUGAGUAUGAGAAUAAAGGCUUGUUAAUGUAUAUCAUUAAGUUUUGUGGUGCUUACUAUACAUCAUAAUUGUGUUGAUACCUGACUAGCACAGAUUACUUUUCCAGCUUCACCUCUGACCAUACUCUUGUAAAUAUGCUAUAGUCCAGCUAAUUAUAACAACUUGAUGACCUCUCCCUGUGCCCUUGGCUUUUCUACCUUUGGUAUCCUGGUCCUCCUCUCCGUCUUCACAUGAAUAUAUGUAGCUGGUAGUUAUUGGUUCUGGGCUAAGUAAUCAUGGGCGACCACUCUGUAACCUUCUCCACUCUCAGGGCAGGCUGCCAUGCCAUUCAU
rnacentral:lncRNA from 10 species